GCAAACUUGGUCAUUUAGAGGAAGUAAAAGUCGUAACAAGGUCUCCGUAGGUGAACCUGCGGAGGGAUCAUUAACGAAUUGUCACACACACAACUCUCAAGUGUUUUGGUGUGGAGGGAGAGAGGAGAGCUUGUGAGGGGGGGGAAAUCCUCUCUUUGCUUUGCUCUCUUUCUCUCACUCUCUCCAGGCACUUGCAAACAAACGAUCACAACUAUCUAUUGAUUUUGUUGCUUGCGAGAGCGAGCGAGGCGAGGGGGAAAAGUGUUUGCCUGAUAAUUGGUUGAUUUGGAAACCGUGGAAAUAUCAUCAUACAACUUUCAACAACGGAUCUCUUGGCUCUCACAUCGAUGAAGAACGCAGC
rnacentral:misc_RNA from 1 species